GUGCUCAGUGCAGCAGCCCAUCUACUAAAAUUGGAACUAUACAGAGAAGAUUAGUGUGACCCUUAUGCAAAGAUGACAUGCAAAUUCAUAAAGCACUGCAUAUUUUU
ensembl:snRNA U6 U6 spliceosomal RNA